CCCCCCCCCCCCCCCCCCCCCCCCCCCCCCCCCCCCCCCCCCCCCCCCCCCCCCCCCCCCCCCCCCCCCCCCCCCGGUCCGGCGCUUCCCCACACCGCAGCUCCUCCAUCUUGCGUUCUCGUGGCUGGGUGCCCAUUCAUUGAGAGCGGAUCUCUGCAGCCACCCGGUACCUCCGCACUGAAGCGUGCUCGGCGAGUCCCGCACAGCCCUCCCGGGCACGCUGCGAGGCGGAGGCGGCGCUGCAGCUGCACCCGGGACACGGGCAGCCUUCCCUGACCGCCACCUACGCUCCCCGCUCCGCUGCGAUACCAGAACCCCCACAAGGAGCUGCUCGCUAUCUCCCCCCUCACCGCUAUUGCUACAGGAACACAAAUUUAACAAACGGGCUUUAGAGUCAUCAACACCGGUCUCCUUUUCAGCCGUACCCACACCAUAAGCCCCAAUCACCUUUCCGAGGAUCUAAAGCACCGCGGAGGGAAGCACGACCUGCGCCACGCGGGUCCUGCAGCACACCCCACCCCCACCUCCCCACGCAACUCCAAACACGAGCCCCGUGCCCCUGGAUUCGGUGGGAAAACACUCCCUGCGCCGAUCCACCGCCGGCAAGCGCCGGCUACCGCCUCCGCCGCUCACCUUGGCAGGGGGAAGGGGCGCUGCUCUCCUCGCUCACGCUCUGACACAGCUCUCACGCUCCGCUGCAGCCUCACUAGUGCGCGCUCCCCACAGCCCGCCCGAUUUAUAUACGGCGGGGUCCGCCUCCUUCCAGAACCAUCGGGAACCUUCACCGCCGGCGCGGGGGGGCGCGGGGAGGGGGCCGCGAGGCGGGGGCGCCCCCCCCCCCCCCCCCCCCCCCCCCCCCCCCCCCCCCCCCCCCCCCCCCCCCCCCCCCCCCCCCCCCCCCCCCCCCCCCCCCCCCC
rnacentral:lncRNA from 12 species